UGGGUGGUAUUAGAAUAAACCACACCAUUAAAUUUAUAUUUGGUUAUUUUUAUUAGACAGCUCAUAUCAUUAAGAAUGAGACUAAAAU
rfam:Clostridium chauvoei JF4335, WGS project CBML01000000 data, contig: 00002